AUCGGAAUUCCCCUGCAAAGAUGGAGAACACCGUGCCAUGGUCCGAUCUCCCCAAAGAGCUCUGGUGUAUGAUCGGGAAGAAGCUCGACACCCCUACCGACGUCCGCCGGUUCCGCAGCGUCUGCUCUUCUUGGCGUUCUCUGAUCCCUCCGCUGCCCCAUGGCAAUAACCCUCCUCUGUUUCCCCUGCAACUCCCUCUCCGGCCGGGCCAAAAGCCCGCCUUCGUCACUCGAUCCACGAUCUACCGCCUCCAGCCGCCGGAAGAAUCCGGCCCGGCCUUUGCCUGGCUGGUCAAGCUCGAGGGAUCCGGCGAGCCGGGCCGCCCGCUCCGCCUCCUGAGUCCGCUCUCGAAGGAGCUGAUCAAGUACAAGCCCGGUUCUUUUCCUAGCGUGUUGAACACUUUGGACUUCAGGGUCACCGAGAUUGUUAAAGAGUACGCUGUCGAGGUCGAUGACGGGGCCAAUUUCCGCCGUGUCGCGAAGGUAGCUUUGUUCCCUGAUUCGGCGUGGGCCGAUGCAGGGGAGUGUGCGGUGGUUGGGAUUCUUGAGGGAGGGAAAUUGGGGCAUUGGAGAUAUGGGGAUGAGGAAUGGAGUGUGAUCGAAGGCCAAGAUUGUCAUUUUGAUGAUGUCAUGGUCUACAAAGGGCAGUUCUAUGCUGUGGAUAGGCUUGGGACCGUGUCAUGGAUCGACCCGUCUUUCCGGGUCGUGCCAUUCUCACCACCCAUGUGCGGUGGCGGCGACAGGAAGCACAUGGUGGAGGCAGGCGGUGACCUCUACGUGGUGGACCGGUACCUCGAGAGGGCCGCUCUGACAAGGUACCGGAACAACCGGGAGGUCGGCUCGGAGACGGUUAAGUUUAGAGUGUAUAGGUUGGAUCAAGAAUGGGGCAAAUGGGAUGAAGUGAGGAGGCUCGGUGAUGUGGCCCUGUUUCUGGGUGAUCACAGUUGCUUCUCAGUGUCUGUGCAAGAGUUCGGUGGGUGCGUUGGGAACUGCAUUUACUUCACUGAGUUGAGUAAUUUUUAUGGUGUUGAAGUCCAUGUCUUUUGCAUGGAGGACCAUAGCAUCAAGAGGGCGGCGUUCUCGCCGGACUACUUGAGGAUCCUGUGGCCGCCCCCGGCUUGGAUCAGCCCGAGCCCAUGCCCCCUCGAUCCGAAAAACAUGAGGACAGUUUUCUAGUUCGAUCUGGUACGGAUUCAAUCUCGAGCAGAAUUGGGUUUGUAAUUCGGUUUUCAGUAUGAAUGAAAAGUGGAAGUUGUAAUUGCUUUGUGAGGCAUUGAGAAUCCAUGUUCUGUUGGCUUUGCUGAAUUUCUUUGUGCCUUGGUAUGCUCUGAACAUUGGAACCUUAUUUAUUCCAAAUUGACUGAAAAAAUUGGGGGUUAACACUAAUCAGACAGAAAACUCAUACAAGCAGAGAAUGCUUGAUGCAUAAAAUUGCUCACUCGAAACUAGACGGAUAUAGUGGAGAUGGAUUGGGGAAAUAUCAUGUAGUUAUCCUCAGUUUUAUACCGUGAUCAACAUUAUAAGCAGAUGUGGAGGGGGUUAUGGUUUGAAGUAUCUCUCAUGAGCACGAACGGCAAAGGAAAAAUCACGGAGAAGGUGCAAAGAACAAAACAUGGGUGAUGGUCGCCACCAAAGUCCUUGCCUCCUGGACGAGAAAUAUAUGAAGCGGGUAUUCAAGUGAGUUUUGGGACACAUUCGAUUUUGACAAGAAAAUGGAUCAUGAUAUGUAAUCUACCUGUUUUGUGACUUGUGAGAUAACGAGAAAUUUCCAUACUAAUAGCUUCCUCAAUUUCAUCAUACAUAUGUUCUGAGUUCACCAACUAGAUUCAAAUUGACUGAUAACAUGAAAAAAUUGCACAAACUGAGAAUGCUUAAUGCGGAGAAUUGCUUGCCUGAAUGCGAGACGGUAUGGCUAUCACAGAAAAGUGUAGGGCAAUAUCAGCAAGUUUUCCUCAUUUUCAUACCAUGAUCAAUGUAAUAAUCAGUUACAGAUUGAGGUUGUGGGUUGAAGUAUCUCUUAAUUAGCAUGUGCGAAAAUGGAAAAAUGGCGAAGUAGUGUAGAGAUGAAAUGGAGGUGUUUCAGUUUCGGAAUUUCUCACUUCUUAUUAAUAGAAAGUUUGAGCUACACCAAUCCUUCUGCUGUUGCUUUUUCUUUUUACUGUAAGAAGGUGUGUUUAAUGAUAUAAGUUUGACUUACAUGUAGUUUUGUGGAGUUAUAGUCACUAGAAGCUCAAUCAUCUUUAUUGUUAAAGUCGAUUGAAAUCGAUCGAUGGCCAAUUAAAAUAUUAGAUAGGACUUCAAAUCAAAGGUAGAUAGAUUUUAAAAUCUCAAAAAAUUUCUAUAUUUUAAAUUACACAGACAAACGAGCUCAAGUUCAUAUCAAGCAUGAGAGAGAGAGAGAGAGAGAGAGAGAGAGAGAGAGAGAGAGAGCAAGGGAGAACCAUUAUUUAUUCAGUCUUUCCUUCCGCGGGCCCACAUGAGUGCAUUCUGUCUUGAAGCCUGGGCGGCGAGUGGACCAAAAGGGACCAAAAGGGUCGAUCUGGCGAAUUAAAAUCUGAUUCUGGUGGGCUCCAGUAAAGGUGCGAAUAGUAAUAUUUCUAUUCUUUUGAAUAGAAAUAAAAAAAAGUGUUUUUGUUCCCGGGAACAAUUUUUGAACAAAAGAACGCGUUUGGUAACGUUUGUUACGGGAAUAAAAAAUGAAUAGAAACACGUUUGGUAAAUUUUAUUCUUUUUUUAUUUCUUUUAAUUUUUUAAACAUUUUUAUUUUAUUUUUCAUUUUUUCCUUUUUUUUUAUUUUCUUUUUUCAGCCGGUCACCGGCCUCCGACGACCGGCCGACGGGGCCGGCAGCCUCGCCCAGCCAUGGGGAGGCUCGCCGACCCCCAGCGAGGCCGAGCCUCGCCGUGGUUGGGUGAGGCUCGGCGACGCUUGGCCUCGCUGGGGGCCGGCGAGGUCGUCGGCCCUCGACAGCCGGUCGCUGGCCAUGGCCGAGGCCGGCGACCGACCAAAGAAAAAAGAAGAAAAAAAGAAGAAGAAAAGAAGAAGAAAAGAGGAGAGAGAAGAAGCGUUUCUUCAAAAUUGUUUCUGGAACAAGAAGCAACUAUUUUGUGUUUCUGUUUUUUGCUCCAAUUUUGUUCCAGGAACAAAAAAAACAAAAAAAGAACAAAAACGCAAUCGAACGCGUUUCUGUUCCUUUUUUUUUCCCGAGAACAAAAAAGUACAGAAAUGUUCCAGAAACGUUUUUUUGGAACGUUUCCAUGCAGGGCCUAAUAGACCUGGGCUAGGUUGUCGCUUCGCUGAUGGAUUGUAUGAAUUGGACCAUAACUCUUUUCAUUGUGACCAACUAUUGGACUCCCCAUUUUGUUUGUUUUCAUAUGUUGAUGUAUUUUAUUAUUGGGAAAAAAUCACGAAAAACUCUAAACUUUGCUCAAAGGAACAGAUUUACCUAAUUUUUUUUUAUAACGUGAAAAAUCUUGAACUUUGCCAACCGUGACACAUUUAUCCUAAACUUUUUUUUUGUGACGCAAAAAACCUUGAACUUCUGUCGUAUGAUACAUUUAUCCUAAAUUAUAAAGCAUUUUGGUCUUUUUACUUUUUUUUAUUUUUCUUUUUUCCUUCUCUCUUCCCACCGUCGAGGAAGUCGGCGUCCGGCGUCUGGCGAGGAUGGCCCUCGGCUAGGUCGGGCGAGGGCCUCCCUCGUGCCCUCUCCCAAAUCUGGCGAGGGUGGCCCUUGCCCGACACAAGCGAGGGUAGCCCUCGUUGGUGUCAGGCGAGGGCCUCCCUCACCUAAUUUGGCGAGGACACCCCUUGCCCGAGUCCAGUGAGGGCAUCCCUCACUAGGCCCUUGCUGGCGUUGAGCGAGGGGUGCUCUUGCCGGACGCUGACGGAGAGAAGAAGAAGAAAAAAAAAAGAGAAAGGAAAAACAGAAAAAAUAAGACAAAAAUGCCCUUGAUGGGGUAAAUGUAUUACGAUUUGAAAAGUUUGGGGUUUUUCAUGUUACAAAAAAAAAGUUUUUGAUAAAUGUGUCAUUUGGGAUAAAGUUUGGGGUUUUUGGUGGUCUUUUCCCUUUAUUAUUUUGUCUAAAUUUUUUUUACAACUUGAUCUGUAGAUAAAAAAUUCUAGUGUCAAGUACCAAUUCAAUUCUAAACCUUUUGAUCAAUCUAAUCCUAAACAUUUUCAUAUUGAUAUUGAUUCAGUUAAUUCAACCAAAUUAGGAUGAAUUUAGCUUAUGUGGAUGCUAGCGGUCAUACAUGGCAUGAUUGAUAUUGAUGUUGAUGUUAACAUUUCUAUAAAUUUUUAUUCUUUUUUGAAAUUUUCAUUUUUUUUCUUUCUUUUCUUUCCCUUCUCUUUCUACAUUGGAUGGUUGACAUGGCACACUACAAAUUCUUAGUGUGGAUAAUCUUGUUUCUGUAGAGCAAGCCUUUAUAUAAAUUGUACAUGAGGAGAAAAAAGUGACCCCUUUGACUAUAAGUUUGGCACUAUAAGGUUUAGCAUACAAGAGAGCAAGAGUUAGGGGGCAUAGUGUCUUGAUUUAGAGAAUAGGGCCUUACGUGUGAAAGAACUAGUAUUUAGGGGAAUACAAUGAAAAUAUUUUAAAUUUAGAGUUUAAGUUAUAAGACAAUUAGAGUUCCGAGGUUAAACUGAAAAUUUCCUUAAACUUCAUAUUCCAAGUUUAUAUAAGAAAAAUCAUGGAGCUGACUUGAGAAUAGGCUCUGCUCGUGUUUGGUGGGCUUAGAUAAAGGAAGUAAGGAAUUGAAGAGAUUGUUUGUUAUAUCUCAUACAAUUCAAUAAUAGGAUGACAAGCCCUAUUCAAUUGAUAUAUCUAUUAGCAACCACUCCAAGUAAUCACCUCUUGAUGUUGUCUCCAAGUUUUUGACUUUUUCCAUUUUUCUUUUGGCUCCGACCACUACCACUGCAAAUUGUAUUAGAGUAGGUUCCAAUCUGGUAAUUGAUUUGUGUUUCAUGAAAAAUUGUGAAGCUCAUGAAUCGACUAGGCUUACUCAAUCUCAAUCAUAUGAGGAUGAGGAGUGAUUGAUGAGAAAUAUAGGCCAAUUCUUUUAGUGAGGCAAAACGCUUUGAGCUCUUACACCAAUUCUUUACACCUAGUCUGUCUAUGACCCGUACAUCUACUAUAGGAAGCGUUGCUUUUGUACCGCUUUGAAACGACCUGACCAGUUAGACACGUGCCAAUCCCCUCGUCCAAUGCAAGAAUUUUUCGGAUUUUAUAUGUUCUCAGUGCUUUCAAUUCAUUCAACUUCCAGGCACAUUUGCACACAAAUGAACCGAUGGAAGAGCAAUGUAGGAGGCUUUACACUCUUUCCGUGUUCAAAGUUUUUCCAGAAGGAACUUUUACAAAGCUACAGUAUCUGGGUGCUAAGAUUCAUGAAUAAUGGGCCAUUAGCAGAUAUUUGAAUAGAAAGUGCGGCAACAAGAAUGAAAAACAUUUCAUUACCUUUUGUUUGUGCCUCAGUCGAUGGAUUCUUCUGAACUCAUACUUCAACUUCCUUCCAUGUCUCAAGUCCAUUGAUAUUUGCUACAUUUUAUAAUUUCCACUUUAACUUGCCCAUCGAAAAACUCACAAUCAACAAGACCUUCAGACAUCCCAUUGAUGAAAUUGUGGAUGAACUUUAUAAUCGACGUUUUUGUUUAAGAUUAUCGAGUAGUCUUAUGGCUUGAGCGUAUUGUUAUGAUAUGGAUUGAACCAUUUGAUUCUUUAUAUUGGACUCGGUUUUUGUGCCCAGUAUCAAACAAUUUCAACAUCUCACUAGGAUAAUGGUGCAGCGAAGAUCUCUCGUGCAUCGUAAUAUGCUUGAGAUCACAAUGCUUGUUACAACAAUCUUAACCACAUCUUUAUGGAGAGUAAUCCCACUUGUUUGCUACAUAAAUCGGUUAUUACAUCUCAAACAAGGAAUAGAAGAAUUCGUAAUAGAUUUAUGUACUAUUUAUUUCGCGAAAAAUAAGAGAUUUGGAAAACAUUUUCCUAAAAAAAUAAUUUUUAUAAAUGAUAAGUGAUCAUUUUCUUAGGAAAUUAAGUUUCAAAUCAUUCAUUUUUUCACGAAACAAAUCUAUUAUUAAAAUCCAUUUCCCAAUUUAUAUUAGGAAAACAAAAAUUAUGUUUUUUUUUAUGAAAUACAAAAAUUAUGUUGAUAUAGAUAUUCGCCAGUAAAUGUUAUGAAUGUAGUUAGUACAAUCAAUUACUUAUGAUAACAGUAUUGCAGGAAAAAAUAUCCAAAAAGUUCUAAACAUAUUGAACUUUUGCCAAUUGAUUCUUAGCAUUUUCAUAUUUUAAUAAUUGAGUCUAUUUGGUCAAUUUUGAUCGAAAUUGCUAACAUGGAUGUUAACCAUCCUAUGUGGUACAACUAAUAGAUGUUUACCUAAACAAUUUUUAAUAAUAUUUUAAUACUUUUUUCGAAUUUAUUAUUAUUUUUGCUUUUUUUUCUUUUUCCCCGAGCCUCGUCAAUGAUUAGCGAAGGUCACUUGCUCGAGUGAGGGAUGCUUGGGCCUAGCCUAGUGAGGGUGGCCCUCACUAGGUUGAUGACCUCUGUUGACCAUUAAUGAGGUAAGGUGAUGGCUGAUGGGGAAAAAAGGAAAAAGGAAAAAGAAAUAAUUAAAGAAAGAAAAGAAAAAAAAAUUAUUAAAAAUGAAAUGAUUUAUGAUUGAAUUGAUAGGAGAAAAUUAAGUUUAAGAAUUUUUAAAUAAGUUUUCAUAUUUUUUCCUCCAAUAUUGAUAAAACAAACAUUGAUGAAAAAAAAAUAGAGUAAUGGAAAAUGAUAAAAUGUUAUUUUGAUUACUUUAAGAAAUGAAUGGAAAUUAUUACUUGGUUAAGAUAAUUUAAUAUAAAUUGAAUUUGAAAAACAGCCAGCACAUUUAUGGUAUAUGAUGAAGACUUACUUUGGCACGAACGCAAAAAGAUUAGAUUUUCCAAGAUUCUCGAUCAAAAUUGAAGGGAAAAGUAUGAAAGAUAAUCAAGUGAGAAGAUUUGUUUUUCAAUUUUGAUAGAGUAAUGGAAAAUGAUCAAAUGUCAUUUUGAUUACUAUAAGAAAUGAAUGGAAAUUAUUACUUGGUUAAGAUAAUUUAAUAUAAAUUGAAUUUGAAAAACAGCUAGCACAUUUAUGGUAUAUGACGAAGAUUUACUUUGACACGAACGCAAAAAGAUUAGAUUUUCCAAGAUUCUCGAUCAAAAUUGAAGGGAAAAGUAUGAAAGAUAAACUAAGUGAGAAGAUUUGUUUUUCAAUUUUGAUGAUAAAUCAUCAAAAUUGAAAAACAAAUAUUCCCCUUUAAUUUUGGCAAUGACUUUCUCCUCCUUCCUGCGACGCCUGCGAUCACCAGUGCAGGCUCUCAUGGAGGGAACCGGGAAACGUCCAUGGUCCGAUCUCCCGCCGGAGAUUCUCUCCAUGAUCGGCGAUCGUCUCCACACUCGCAUGGACGUCCUCCGGUUCCGCGGCGUCUGCUCUUCGUUCCGCUCCUCGAUCCCCCGGCCCGGCCACGACGCCUCGCGGUUCCCUUUCCGCAUCCCUACUAACACGCCGCGCUCCGCCCUCUUCCUCCGCGCGAGCACGGUCUACGCAGUCGAGACGCCGGACGGAACCGCCUCCUCCGGUCGCGCGCGGUGGCUGCUGAAGCUCGAGGAGUCAGAGCCCGGGCGCAUGUGGAUCCUCAGCCUCUUCUCGCGGCAGCGGAUCGCGUACUUGCCCCACGAGUUCCCGGAGGUACUCGAUUCUCUCCAAUUCCGAAUCGUCGAGAUCUGUAGAGAAUACACGCUCGAAUAUGGCGGUGGAACCGGAGGCCUCGUUCAAGGUGUACGGAAAGUAGUGAUGCAUCCGGAUUGUGUAGGGCCCGAUGUGGACCGGUGUUCGGUUUAUUUCAUUGAUGGAAAAGGGCGAUUAGGUUAUUGGAGGUACGGGGAUGAGAACUGGAGCCAUAUAGAUGAUUCACAGGGCAGUGGUUACGACGACAUUGCAGUUUAUGAAGGUAGAGUUUGCGUCGUCGAUCAGUUUGGGUCAGUUUCGGAGAUCGAUUCAUCUUUCGGACUUCAAAGUCUCUCACCGCCAAUAUACAGUGGCAACCACCGCGGCAGCGGUGGCUUUUGGAAGCAGUUGGUGGUGUCAAGUGGUGAUCUUUAUUUAGUGGACAGAUACACCGAGAGCAUCGCGUACACUGAGAAAACACGGCCGACGUGUGAUUUUAGGGUCUAUAGGUUGGAUCGACAAUGGGGGAGAUGGGAGGAGGCGAGAAGCUUGGGCGAUCCGGCCUUCUUUCUUUGCAAGCACUGCUCGUUCGCGGUCUCGGCACUCGAGCUUGGCGGGGGCAACGGGAAUUGCAUCUACUAUACGGAGGACACUUAUUCCCAUUACUCGAUGGAAAUCGUUAAGGUGUUCAGCUUGGCGGAUCGCAGCAUAAAGUGGUUGAAGUAUUCCGACUGGUGUGCUAGACUAUUCCAGCUUCCUAACGGGCAUGCCUGACUCGAUUAAACCUAACCCCGGACAUCCGCUGGUAGGUUAGGUCAGUAGCAUCUGAUGUCCUUUUUCACUAGCAGUAUACAAUUUCUGUGAUACCUUGUUAUAUGAACUUUAAUUGGUCAAAAUGUUUAUUUACAGAAUUGAAAUGGGUGGUUAGUGGAUAUAUGAUAAUACAAGCAAAAGAAGGUACCCACGUACAUAGAGAAGUUUGGUGAAAAAAAUGUCAUUAAGUUUACUCUUGAAAAUGAAUACGAAAAUGCUGCUUAUAUUUACCUUACCGAAAAAAAAAAAUGCUGCUUAUAUUUAGAGGAAUGACACAAAUAAUCUCUAGACUUGAAACCAAUGUGCAAUGUUGUUUUCGAAUGUUCAAUUAUUUGAUUGAGUCAUUCUUAUUUAAACAUAACAAGGGAAAAAGUUAGCACAAGUGCCUAACUAUCGGGUAAUAUGCUAUCUAUUCUCUAAAUUUUCAAUUUGUUUAAUUUAGCACAUAACUUUUCAAAACAAAAUGUAAUUAGUCAAUUCGCAAGUUUUCAUAAUCGCAGGGUUACAUAGAUUUUAGAUUUUUUUUUCCUUUUGUCUAUCUCACAAAAUAAUGAAAAUUUUUAAAAUGGUUGUCUGCAUGCAUAGUUGGGGUUUCGCAAGAAUUGAUUCUGGCCAAAUGUGCUCGAUGCGAACAUCGAUGCAUCAUUUAAAUCAUAAUAAGGGGCAUGGCCUGGAAAGCAUUGAAUUCUUUAGACAUUUUAUUGGGGGGAAUUCCUUCUUACCUAUCAUUUGGUCAUUUAUUGAACAUUGUAAUUUCUCUUGUUCAAAUUUGAAGUCGUACUCGCAUUUUAUUCGUGUGUAAUUUAAUGAGCAUUUUUCACAAAUUUAUCUCAAUUCCAUUUUAGAUUAUUUUAAAUAUUUUAAAAAUAUAAGAACAUAACCAUUGACCAACGACCACAUUCUUUGUGCUCUUUCGUGAUGGCCACCACCAAAAAGAAGAACCUGUCCACUAAUUUCUGUGUGAGAUGUUUCGUCGGAAUCUUUCCAUAAAGUCGAUAUCAUUCGGAGGAGGGUUCGCACCGACUUUGCAAUAUGUCUUUCUGAUCUAGUUUGGGUUUGUCCGGAAUAUUAUGCGAGCCCCAAUCGCUUCUGCUCCAAAACCCGCACAGAUGGGCAGGCGGAGAGUUCGGGGCGCAGGGCAACUCUUUUCAAGGAACUCGAUGGAAAAACCGUGUGAUACCAUUGAAUUAUUCACCUGACGCGGCUUGAAGUAGGAUGCUCUUGGCUCUAGCUCGUGCAUGCUUCUCUUGCGAUUACGACCGGACCAGACACCGAGGUGGGACCCAUUCUCGCUUGUUCCUUCAAUGGCAAGAAAGCUCUGAAAGCUUUCGGACCCAAAAAGUCUGAGGAAACCUUUGGCGGAGAGACUUGAGAAUCAAGUUGGAUGACUGUUGUAAUAUUAAUGCGAAAAUAAUAAGAUAUUAUAAAUAAAUUAAUAUAAAAAUAUUAGAAAAAUAAAUGAUGAAUAAUAAAGAUAUUAAAAAUUUAUAUUAUUCGGUCCGAGUAACGAUACUCAUAUUCAUGGAAGAGUCAAUAAUAAAUAAUUUAUUAUAAUCGAAAAAUCAGAGUUUAUAAUUAUUUUUAUAUUAGGAUGUUCCUAACAUUUAAAUUUAAGUCUAAAUUCAACAUAUUUAUAAAUAAAUAACUCAAUUUAAAUAUAAUCUCGUAACACGAAAUCAACGUGGUUUAAAGUCUCCUCGUACGGCAAAAAUGAGGACGUCGGCGUUCUUCGCAAGGUAAUGCGGCUCUUCUUCAAGGAACGUGCGUGCGGCUCAAAAGGGAAGAACCCCGUUGCCGUUACAGCAACGCAAGUAUACGCGCGGAAUAAUCCAACAGAAGGCGAGGAAAAAACGCAAGCCGCCAGUUAGGACUGCUCAUCUGCGACUCCGCCGUUCUUGGUCCUCGGACUCUCCCCUGCAAGGAUGGAGAACACCGUGCCAUGGUCCGAUCUCCCCAAAGAGCUCUGGUGUAUGACCGGGAAGAAGCUCGACACCCCUACCGACGUCCGCCGGUUCCGCAGCGUCUGCUCUUCUUGGCGUUCUCUGAUCCCUCCGCUCCCCCAUGGCAACAACCCUCCUCUGUUUCCCCUGCAACUCCCUCUCCGGCCGGGCCA
rnacentral:lncRNA from 1 species